GCCUCCGUGGCUUAGUCGGGAAAACAUGCGACUAUGGUGCGGUAAGACUCGGGUUCGAGCCAUGGUGAAGGCA